GAGCAAUCUGUGUGACUGCGUACCUUUUGUAUAAUGGGUCAGCGACUUAUAUUCUGUAGCAAGGUUAACCGAAUAGGGGAGCCGAAGGGAAACCGAGUCUUAACUGGGCGUUAAGUUGCAGGGUAUAGACCCGAAACCCGGUGAUCUAGCCAUGGGCAGGUUGAAGGUUGGGUAACACUAACUGGAGGACCGAACCGACUAAUGUUGAAAAAUUAGCGGAUGACUUGUGGCUGGGGGUGAAAGGCCAAUCAAACCGGGAGAUAGCUGGUUCUCCCCGAAAGCUAUUUAGGUAGCGCCUCGUGAAUUCAUCUCCGGGGGUAGAGCACUGUUUCGGCAAGGGGGUCAUCCCGA
rnacentral:rRNA from 1 species